UACGUAGGGGCCGAGCGUUGUCCGGAGUUACUGGGCGUAAAGCGCGUGUAGGCGGUCCGGUAAGUCCGCUGUGAAAGUCGAGGGCUCAACCCUCGAAUGCCGGUGGAUACUGUCGGGCUAGAGUGCGGAAGAGGCGAGUGGAAUUCCUGGUGUAGCGGUGAAAUGCGCAGAUAUCAGGAGGAACACCUAUUGCGAAGGCAGCUCGCUGGGACGUUACUGACGCUGAGACGCGAAAGCGUGGGGAGCAAACAGG
rnacentral:rRNA from 1 species